rnacentral:lncRNA from 1 species
UAGAAGAGGAAGAACGAUAGCGAGUGGAAGAAGAAGAAAGUUAGAGAGCGGAACGGGAGACGUGAACGCAUUUGCCAAGACAAUGCGAUUUGCUGAUCAGAGAUCGAAUGUACUAAUGUGAAAGGAGAAACGACUGCCAAGACAGUGAGUUUAUAGUGUGUGAGGUGUUCGUUGUACUUUGUAGAAGUGGAGAUUGAAGGAAGAACUGUGGUGUUAGAGACCGUUUUGCUUUUAUAGUUAGGAUCUAUUUUUUUGGUUGGUAAUUUUGAUCAGUAAACAGACAGACUCGUACGGGCGAAUCAUUCUUUAAAUUGGAACGAAAGAACGCGCAAUUGUCCGACCCGCUGGUGAGUUGGAGAGAGCGAAAGAAAAGAGGCACCGGUGGUGUCGUGACAAUAUUCCAAUAAAAUCAUGACAUAAUCCAAUCUAAACAUCGACUGAGUCUGCAAAACACGUAAAUAAAAUAUGCUUUGAUUCAAUUAAAAUAAGGAAAGUAUCCCUACAAGUAUCCUUGGAGACAUUCAUAAAUAAGUUUUUUGUUUUAUUUUAAUGCUUUUACUUGUCAAUCCUCCUGACUCAUCCGCCAUGAGAAGAGGUGAAAGGUCGUGUAGAUAUUGACCUCCAGCAGUUCCAGUGACGUCAGUGUGGUGAUGUGUAUCGUAGUGUCCGAUCCUUCCAUUCAAAUUAUUGUGGUUUUUUUUUUCCUAUUUGACAGAUGCAUGUAGGGAACAGGAAUUGUGCAUUUCCAUCUUCAUAAAUUUACUCCGGAUGUCCACCUCGUGCUGGCUUCUGAAUUAAAAAAUAAAAUUAAAAUGUCUUGGAUCAUGGAAGGUCUGAUUUACAUUUUAUGUCUUCCUGUCUUCCUAACUCCAUUCCCUGGUCCUCGUACUGGACAGGACUUCAAGGCGUAAAUAACAUGUAAAUGACAUUUUUAUAUUUCCUUACCAAACGGCUAAUAAAUGAAAAAUCGGUGGUGACCGUAUUUCUGCUCACUGUUGACCUGUUGGCCUUUCUCUGAAUUUCGUUUUUUAAUCAGUUUGAUCUUCUUCUUGCAUGUCAGCUGGUGCUGAGUCACAACACGUCCAUGACAGGCGGAUGGAAAGAGAGGAAGAGUAAACUACUUUAUUAUCUGUUCAAAGCUUCCAACUUCUUGCUCAGAUGUGUUUGUGUUUGCGGGAAAAUAGUUUAUAAACUUGCAGGUCACCUGCUUUGUCAUAGUCGCUUUUUGAGCAGAACGAGAUUGGUUUCGUCAGUUCAAUAGCCUCAUGUGACUCACCCUGACAUUUUCAGCCAGCUUGCUGUGUGUAGACAGUUCCAGACUGCUUUUCUCAUGGAGGGACUUGAUGACGAGAGUAAGAGUUAUGACUUGCACCCUCGUGGACUACACAAAGGAUGCCACCCUACCUGCAUCAACGACUUGCGCCAUAUCAUCUUCUACAAGCACCACCCGAGCCCUCCAAGCUUCUGUGAUCGGUCCCCAAGUGAUGAUAACAAGGAGACAUCCGUGGACAUUAUCAGUGGGUGGCAGCCUGCACGCUGCGCUACCUCCCUGUAGCGAGGCUGGAGGACAGGUCACGUGACAUUGCCCUACGCCCAGAGAGUCACAUGAUAUUGACCGCUCCUGGCGAAAUGAUUUAUCAUCUCCCGUGGCGCCAGGGGAGACUAUCACACCAUGAAGAACUGCAGGACAUGAACUCUGACAACACAAAGACUUGCUUGAUGCUCGCUUUUAACACUUGCAGCUGGAAUUUCCUGAGGGAAAGAUUCUUCCUGCGGAACAGGACAGCAAUACAAUAUUAAGAAAAUAAUCGACGAUUAUUCAUCGUCAUUCAAUGGCAUGUGUGUGUGUGUGUUUGUGUGUGUGCACGCAUGCCAAAUAGAGAGAUUUUGUCGCUGAAAUAUGUGUAAAUAUUAUCUCAUCCGCUUUGAACCCGUAUCAUCCACGGAAAAGAACAGUCAGAGAUUGUUGUCUUUGCCAGCAGGAGUUGUACCCGAGGUGCACUAACCUACCCAGGAGGUCAAAGGUACAAGUAGGAUGUUGUGGGUCUGGCAGAUAUUAGAUGCACGGGCGUUGGAGAAAAAGCAACGAAUGAUCAUCACACGCUUUGGUACAGCGUGAAGGAAAACAAAGAGAAGCAUGGUGCGGGAAUGGCCAUCUUCCCACAGAAGUAAUGGUUGUACUAAGGCAAUGGACUAAGUACUGCAAUGACCCAUGAAACUUCCCGCUGGAGACAUCCUCCUAACAUCCUCCUAGGUAAUCAGACUGCUUCCAGUGACCCUGCAGACCUUGGUACAUGAUGAGUAAAUUCAACAUCGAAGAGGAUCUUGUUGAAGCUAUCGAAGCUUUACACAAAUGAUCCAUGAAUUCAGUACUUCUCGACAACCAGAAGCAUCUCUUACCGACGAAGGAGGUUGCAUGCCAAGCCACUGUCACAGAUGCUGCUCAACAUCUUUCUGGAGAAUAUCAUGAAAGAACCUCUCUAGAAACAACCAC